CAAUUGGAAUGAGAACAAUUUAAAUCCCUUAUCGAGGAUCAAUUGGAGGGCAAGUCUGGUGCCAGCAGCCGCGGUAAUUCCAGCUCCAAUAGCGUAUAUUAAAGUUGUUGCAGUUAAAAAGCUCGUAGUUGCGUUUCUGUUGGGAGGGAUCGUUCCUUGCCUCUGGCUUGGAUUCGUAUCGUCUCCUGACAUCCUUGGGUGGAGCCAUUCUGGCAUUAAGUUGUCGGGGUGGGGAUGCCCAUCAUUUACUGUGAAAAAAUUAGAGUGUUCAAAGCAGGCUUACGCCGUUGAAUAUAUUAGCAUGGGAUAAUAAGAUAGGACUUUGGUACUAUUUUGUUGGUUUGCGCACCAGAGUAAUGACGAAUAGGGACAGUUGGGGGUAUUCGUAUUCAGUUGUCAGGGGUGAAAUUCUUGGAUUUUUGGAAGACAAACUACUGCGAAAGCAUUUACCAAGGAUGUUUUCAUUAAUCAAGAACGAAAGUUAGGGGAUCGAAGAUGAUUAGAUACCAUCGUAGUCUUAACCAUAAACUAUGCCGACAA
rnacentral:rRNA from 1 species